AUAUGUGGGUCUGGGGGGUAUAGCUCAGUUGCAUCUGUGAAGUCCUGUGUUUCAUCUAUGGUACUAAAUGAAACCGGACAUGAUAGCACGUGCCUGUAAGCUCCGUCCUUGGGCGACAGAAGCAAGAGGAUCAGCGGUUCAAGGUCAGCCUUGGCUACGAAGUGACUCUUGGAGAACAGCCUGGACACUUCAUCCUUUGCCCUUCAAGGUGGACCCCGGGCUGCAUCAAAUGAUGGUGGGAUUCAGCUUGGCAGAGCGUGGGCUCGAGACUACCACUUAACGGCUGCCGUCCAAAUAUUUGCCACAACCUAAGUUAGCAGGCGAAGGACCUGGAAGUUAAUCCGCCAGAGGCUUACUCCUGCCAGGGAGGACCAGAGGAGGAGGCAGCUGUCCAACUUUUUCUGGAAUGAGGGCAAGAAAAAUGAGGACACAGAGUGAAGUUAUUGGAUACCUUAUCUGGAACUGCCCAAAGCGUUGUCUGGGAUCCAAAGAACACACAGUACCUUCUGGAUUAGGGGAGAGGAGCCAAGCUUUUCCUAUAUCUCUCCCUCUCAAAUCCUUGGCCCUACAUAUGCACAGACACCCAGACACAUACACACAUUCAUACAUAUGCAUACAUAUACAUUUACAUAUAUGUUUUUUUUAUUCACACAUACAUGCAUAUGUUUUCAGAGCACAUCGUGGCAUUGUCUAACCAGCAAGGGGUUUAUCUCCAGCAUUGACUGAUUUCCCCCUUAGUCAUCAGCUGGCUGUAGCUCUUUAUCUAAGUGUGGGACCUUGUAAGAUUUUUCUCAUGCAUGUUGGCAUGCACGCCCGGCUUCAGAUUGCUCUUUCUAAUUCUUGCAGAUUGCUCUUUCUAAUUCUCAUCUUCGUUUUACAGCUGAAUAACACCCCAUUCUGUAGGUACAUCAUAUCUUCUUUAUCUGUUCAUUUCUUUAUGGAAGCUUGCAUCGAGUGCAUGUCUUGGCUAGUGUAACUAAUUUCACAGUAAACAUGGGUAGAUUUGAACAUGCUUAUUUCAUUUCAUUUGAUAUAUACUCAGAAGUAGGCCACUGGACUCAUAAGGUAGUUCAGAUUUUUCCCUAGGAAGCUUUCAUACUGCUUUCCAUGGCUGCCAUUGAAGAAAUCCUCUUAGGUAGGUUUCUUGCCUCCUACUGGCUAUCACAAUUGAGCCAUGGUCCACACCUCUCCCAAUGCAGUGCUGUGCCUGGAUGCUUGCUCUUUUCUUCCUAAAAUAAAUUUAUUGAUCAGGCAUUACAACUGUUUGUUACUGACCUCCAUCAGGAUUAUUCUUGCCUAUCACAAAUCACCCUCAAAGUUCAGAUGUUGUUGACGCUGUGGACUUGAACUUCUCUUCUCUUUCCAGAAGUACUGAACCCCAACCCUCACACACACAUCUCUGUUCCCACUUCCCAGUGUGGUCUGGCUGACCUUCUUCACCUUCCCUCUCUCCACUGUUCUACAUAGCAAGUGAGUCAACUAAAAGCAAUGAGAAUUCCCACUGAGUUCACUGGUGAGCCAUGGCACUUCCGGGUCUGUGUCAUUACAGCUGAGAAGACUAGAAAAUGGAGUGUUUUGAUCAACAAGAUCACUUUCGGAAGACAGAAUGGCCCCCAAGUCUGUCUACAAGACUAACAAGAACAGAGAUAUAGCAACCAAAUCCAAAGCCCUGGUACAUGUUCCAGUACUGAAAAACAGAGGUGUGUAGGAAUAAAUUUGAGAGUUUUUUAGAAAAGGAAACAAAGGAGUGGCUUUAGACACGUAUAACAGACAGACACAGAGCAGGUGGUGCCUUUGGAGAUUUCUUCAGAUGUGUAGAACAGACAGACAAACUGACAUUUUAAAGGAAGGUCACUGCUGAGAACCUGGAGGGUAGGAGCAUCUGGAUUCUCAAUCAAGAGCCCGCAGAGGCGGGGUGCAUGCAGCUUCAGCAUCUCCUGGUGGAGGAGCGGCUGUGGGAGGACUCGUGGAAGCUGCUGUGACUCUGACCACGGCUUGAAGAGGAAAAUGUUCUGUUUUUCAGUGGAUUAUCUCAGAUAUUUUAUCAGAGUGACAGAAAGCUGACAAAAAGCAGCAGAAGACUCUUUCUCUAUGUUGUGACUCUGAGCUUGUCCAGGCAACUUGCUGAGAUGGUUUUGAUGCAAACAAAAAUGAAUGAUGCUGGUGAGUCUCUUCUGAUGCCCGUGUUCUCUUUGCCUAGUGUAAGAAAUUGUCUAAGCUCAUUUGAAGCUGGAGGGGUCAGAAGGAGCAACAUAUAGUGACUGGUCUUAGAAAGAGUAAUGUAUCAAGAGCUCUGGAGGAAGGAAGAAGAGAAGAGAAGGAAAAAGGAAAGAGAAGAAAGGAAGGAUGGAUCUGUAUCUGAGAGCUAAGUACAAUAUCAGUCUUUUGGAAACAUCUGUACUCCUUAAUGUGAGUACUCAUGUUUAUAUGUAGAUUGUAAGCCUUAUGUUCUAAAACUGGCUUUAUUGGUGUCAAUAAAUGAGAAGCAGGUGAAGCAUACUUAACCGGCUGGCCUGGAACUCAUGGUCCUGGAACUCGUGCUGAUUACAUCAGCAUCCCCUGUGUUAGGCUUAUGGUCAUGUUUCUCCUCGUCUGGCAAGAAAUGAAUCUUAAAGGAAGAACUGACUCCCAUAGUGUAAGAAGAAAGCUGUAUUCUAGACAGCUCUGUGGCAAAAGUCGCUGGAACCUAUUUGUAGAGGAGGUUUAUAGCUUUGCUGGUCACACUUUCAAUAACUGUGAUGGACGGUCUUCGGCUCCGUAUAUCAUGUUCAAGCAUUCAGCUUAAAAGUAUCUUUGUGUUCACAGCUUGCUUCCUGUCACCUUGUGGAGCCCCGCUCCCCACCGCAGAUGCACAUGGCGUUAUGUUAUAUGCGCACAGAGCUUUGGGGAAAGCUCAUAUUUAGGGGCAUUAAGUAAGCAGAGGAGGUUGGCGGCUCAUUGGGCUGAGCCUGACCUCAGUCUGAAAUGAGGCAAAUUGUCAUAUUUAUGACUCUGAGUAAGUCAGUAAUAUAUUGGUGCUCACAUGUGGGAGCAUGGUCGUUCCUCGACAUGUGGCCUCCAGUUCGGUUUUCUCUCAAGCGGUGGUUAUCACCUAAGUACAUCUCCCCCGAGAAGGCAGCAUGUGUUAUUCUUCUUCUCAGUAACCUAGCAUGGGGCUAUGGACCUCAAAAGAGGCAGCCGGAAGGAGACUCUUUUCCACAUUGGGCAGAACGGUUGGAGUGGUAACGCUGUGAACAUGUCGGGAGACUUGUCAAAUCUGGAGACAUUUCUACUAAAGCCUCUCAUGUCU
rnacentral:lncRNA from 1 species